UCAGCAAUACAGUCUUCCAUCAGACCCUUUUUCCAUGUUUGAUUAUUGAUACUAUAGGCUCCAUCCACAGGCAAGUUGACACCACUCACAUAUUUGGCCUCAUCGCUAGCUAGAAACAGGGCAGCCUGCGCAAUAUCUUCUGCUUCGAGUAUGGCCUCUUUCAACACUCCAUUUCUCAAAAUCAUCUCUUCUACCUUUCUCUUAUCCGAUGUCUUUAACGUUUUAAACAUCAUAGGAGUCGCAAUGCCGUGAGGCGAGAUGCAAUUGACUCGUAUCCCAUACUCCCCUAACUCUCCGCUCAAGCUCUUAGCCAAUCCCACCACAGCAUGCUUUGAUGUGAUGUAGGCAUGAGGAACGCCGACGUAAAGCAAUGAAGCGACGCU
rnacentral:lncRNA from 1 species